UACGUAGGGUGCGAGCGUUGUCCGGAAUUAUUGGGCGUAAAGGGCUCGUAGGCGGUUUGUCGCGUCGGGAGUGAAAUCAUCUGGCUUAACUGGGUGCUUGCUUUCGAUACGGGCAGACUAGAGGUAUGCAGGGGAGAACGGAAUCCCUGGUGUAGCGGUGAAAUGCGCAGAUAUCAGGAGGAACACCGGUGGCGAAGGCGGUUCUCUGGGCAUGACCUGACGCUGAGGAGCGAAAGUGUGGGGAGCGAACAGG
rnacentral:rRNA from 1 species